rnacentral:miRNA from 1 species
ACCCCCAAUUUGUGUGUGUGUGUGUGUGUGUGUGUAUACGUGUAUACACACACACACACACACACACACACACAUUGUUUGUCC